UACAGAGGGUGCGAGCGUUAAUCGGAAUUACUGGGCGUAAAGGGUGCGUAGGUGGUUAUGUAAGUUAGGUGUGAAAGUCCCGGGCUUAACCUGGGGAUUGCGCUUGAUACUGUAUAGCUAGAGUACUGUAGAGGGAAGUGGAAUUUCCGGUGUAGCGGUGAAAUGCGUAGAUAUCGGAAGGAACAUCAGUGGCGAAGGCGACUUCCUGGACAGCUACUGACACUGAGGCACGAAAGCAUGGGGAGCAAACAGG
rnacentral:rRNA from 1 species